rnacentral:lncRNA from 1 species
GCGUCGGCAUCCUGCUGGGUGAGGUUGUAAACCUUGCCCUGAAAAAGAGGUCUUCAUUGGUUCUGGUUCCUCGGGCACUCUCUCGUAUAGUACUGGGCACUACCACAUAUGCGACAGGUAUUGUUGAGCCGAUAGCAUGGUCGGUCCCCGUGAUCCCUGUCGCAGUGCUGACAGAUCUUGCCACGUGCUGCCCCUAGAGCUUGAGGGGGAGCCUGGAUCGCCGGUCUGGGCCUCUUAUUUUGUUAGACAAGCGCAGUAGGUACUGGUCUGCAGGGUAGAACUGAGGGUCUGUGACUCCCUGAUGACUGGAAAAGGGUGUUGAAACUCCUCUCCACGAUCUGCGCCUUUGCCAGAACAGCUGAAUAUGUCUUGAGCUCUAGUACCAACAAGUGCCGCUUGAUCUCUGGGCGGAGGCCCCACUAGAACCUCCUGGCCUUUUUGCCUUCAUCCAUCAAUGUCUCAGGGGAGUAUCGGCUCAGCUCUAGGAACUUAUGAGCAUACUCCGACACUGUCAUGUUUCCCUGGACCAGCUGAACAAACUCCCUCUCCUUUAAAUAUCGGAUGUGCUCGGGGAGGUACUCAGCAUGAAAGGCUGCUAGAAACUGCUCCUAAGUGACAGGCGUGGGCAGGGUGGUCUGCUUGAGCUCCCACCAACGAUCUGCUUCCCCAACCAGCAUGUAGGAAGCAAGAGUAACCCUCUGCUCAGGAACCACUCCUAAGGUCUUG